UUCUCUCUCGUUUCAAAUUUCAAAUCUAUUUGAACAAAACGCACCGUUAGAAAGACAAUUGAAAAAGCUAAUCCAUCAAAUUCAAAUUUAACUUUUCAUUCACUUAACUUCCAUCAAACUUCUGUUUCUCUCUAUUCCCUUUUACUCGCUCGCCGCUUUCCACCGAUUUAUCAUCUCAAUCACGAUCUUCAUCUCUUCGUUUCAAUUUCUCACUCCGUCGCAGUUUCCGAGUUCGGAAAUCUACUUUAUUUUCCUUUUUUUUUCAUUCAGUUCCAUCACCUUCCAAUUCAUGACAGAGAAACUCAAUCUUAGGGUUUUCUUCACUUCCUUCGCUCUGCACUGCGAAACCCUAAAACGGCGGGGUAACACAAAACUGAUGGAUUAAUUGUUAAAUUGUGUUCCUUGAGAUUUAUUUGAUACAGUCUCGCAGGAUUUUAUGAACACUAAUGGUAGUGAAUUUAAGCAUUCAAUUGUUCGUUGUUACUCAUCUGUUCUUAAGGCCAAAUUGAAAAAUUCAACAUGCUAUGGUUUGUCCAAAACGCUACAGCAAGGGUAUAAUGUCUUCCCAGUUGUCCUCUUUGCUGUUCCUUGUUGUGGGAAUUUCAAUGGCGCUUACGCCAUGGUUGGGUGAAGGAGGCCAGCUGAUUGCUUAGUUUUGAGCAACAUGAUGUUCGAAGCAUAACCCGUAGAAAGUGAGACAGAUGAUCUGCAUGAUCAUAUCAUUAUUUGUGGAUUUGGGCGAGUUGGCCAGAUCAUUGCACAACUUCUUUCUGAGCGACUUAUUCCUUUUAUUGCACUAGAUGUGUGAAGGACAUAAAUGAAGAAUGUAUUUAAGACAAAAUCCGCUUUUGUUAUGACUUAUGAUGGUUUGAAGAGGCAGAGGUUAAAUGACCCUAUGAUUCAUGGUCCUCAUCUCUAGGUUUUAAUUCAAGUUCUCACGGACAUAAAUGAAGAAUCAAUUUCAGACAAAACCCGCUUUUGUUAUGACUUUAUGAUGGUUUGAAGAGGCAGAGGUUAAAUGACCCUAUGAUCCAUGGUCCUCAUCCCAGUUGUCAAGUCUACUAUUAUGAACGAACUGGACUUUUUUCCAUACAAUCUGAUUAUCUGAAGAGAAUAGAGUUGUGGCUAGACAUUGCUCUUUUGGAGGUGAACCAAGGAUAUCUGCUGAACAUAUUUCUCUUCUUGAUAACCAGGUUCUCAUCAUAAUAACCAACUUCUUUGCUCACAUAAUUUUCGAUGUUUCCUUCUUAUCUAAUGCAUUUGUUUUUGGUGAGAUAAUUAGAACCGAUGUAUCUUUAACAAUUCUGUGUUGAGUGGAUAAUUCUUGUCAGUUGACUCAUGAAUUUUAUGGAAUUGGAUUCAGAGCAGUCAGCCAUGGUGCAGUCAGGCUGCAGUCGGCUGCUCUGAACCGUUUGAUGAAAAUCGGACGGCUCAGUUCUUAGUGCAGUUUUAGUUUUAUAAAAUAUAAAUAUUUUAACUUUAAACUCUGAAUCGUCCGAUUGUAA